rnacentral:rRNA from 1 species
AAAAGAAGAUCAAGAAGAGCUUCAGAAUGAAGCUUUCUUGAUGGAGGGGAGCGGCAGACGGGUGAGUAACACGUGGGAACAUACCCAUCUCUGCGGAACAACUCCGGGAAACUGGAGCUAAUACCGCAUACGCCCUUCGGGGGAAAGGUUUAUCGGAGAUGGAUUGGCCCGCGUUGGAUUAGCUAGUUGGUGGGGGAAAGGCCUACCAAAGCGACGAUCCAUAGCUGGUCUGAGAGGAAGAUCAGCCACAUUGGGACUGAGACACGGCCCAAACUCCUACGGGAGGCAGCAGUUGGGAAUAUUGGACAAUGGGCGCAAGCCUGAUCCAGCCAUGCCGCGUGAGUGAUGAAGGCCUUAGGGUUGUAAAGCUCUUUCACCGAUGAAGAUAAUGACGGUAGUCGGAGAAGAAGCCCCGGCUAACUUCGUGCCAGCCGCCGCCGUAA